rnacentral:rRNA from 1 species
AUGGUCGCCUUCAGCAGCAGUCGACGUGCUUGCACGAGGUUCGGUGCUGGAGGCGCGAUCGACUCGAGGCUGGCCGUCCGCUCCGACCUCCGGCGCGUCGUCUUCGUCUUCCUCGUCCUCCUCGUCUUCCCCCUUGUCGCUGGAGGCGAUCUCCUCUGCCGAGUCCUCGCUGUCAGCCGGGUUCAAGACCGAACCACUCUGGCGGUGCUUCGGCGCCAUUCUCGUUCAGCUCAGGGACAAAGUCGCCAGUAUUGUACUCGGCAAUCGUCGACGCGCGUAUCGAGAGAUCACGCUCCAUCGCCGCCAGCUCGGCGCCGGCUUCCAGCCGUAACGUGGCCAACUGGGCUAGAUCUAGCCCAGGAUACCAUGCCUUGGCGAACUCCAAGGCCCGCCGCGCUCCUGCUCAGGCCGCGGAACCCUUUCACGCCUUAA